UACGGAGGGGGUUAGUGUUAUUCAACUUUAUUGGGCGUAAAGCGCGUGUAGAUUGUUUUUUUUGUUAAUAUAAAAAUUUUAGAGCUUAACUUUAUUGCUUAUAUUAAUACGAUUAGACUUGAGUUUAACAGAAGGUAAUAGUAUUUCUCAUGUAAGGUUAAAAUCUAUCGAUAUGAGAAAGACUUUCAGUCGGCGAAGGCAAUUACCUAGGUUAAGACUGACUUUGAGACGCGAAAGCAUGAGGAGCAAACGGG
rnacentral:rRNA from 1 species